rnacentral:rRNA from 1 species
UACGGGGGGGGCAAGUGUUCUUCGGAAUGACUGGGCGUAAAGGGCACGUAGGCGGUGAAUCGGGUUGGAUGUGAAAGUCGCCAAAAAGUGGCGGAAUGCUCUCGAAACCAAUUCACUUGAGUGAGACAGAGGAGAGUGGAAUUUCGUGUGUAGGGGUGAAAUCCGUAAAUAUACGAAGGAACGCCAAAAGCGAAGGCAGCUCUCUGGGUCCCUACCGACGCUGGGGUGCGAAAGCGUGGGGAGCGAACAGG